rnacentral:rRNA from 1 species
CGCUAGCUACAGGCUUAACACAUGCAAGUCGAGGGGCAGCAUUUUAGUUUGCUUGCAAACUAAAGAUGGCGACCGGCGCACGGGUGAGUAACACGUAUCCAACCUGCCGAUAACUCGGGGAUAGCCUUUCGAAAGAAAGAUUAAUAUCCGAUAGUAUAUUAAAACCGCAUGGUUUUACUAUUAAAGAAUUUCGGUUAUCGAUGGGGAUGCGUUCCAUUAGUUUGUUGGCGGGGUAACGGCCCACCAAGACUACGAUGGAUAGGGGUUCUGAGAGGAAGGUCCCCCACAUUGGAACUGAGACACGGUCCAAACUCCUACGGGAGGCAGCAGUGAGGAAUAUUGGUCAAUGGACGAGAGUCUGAACCAGCCAAGUAGCGUGAAGGAUGACUGCCCUAUGGGUUGUAAACUUCUUUUAUAUGGGAAUAAAGUAUUCCACGUGUGGGAUUUUGUAUGUACCAUAUGAAUAAGGAUCGGCUAACUCCGUGCCAGCAGCCGCGGUAAUACGGAGGAUCCGAGCGUUAUCCGGAUUUAUUGGGUUUAAAGGGAGCGUAGGUGGAUUGUUAAGUCAGUUGUGAAAGUUUGCGGCUCAACCGUAAAAUUGCAGUUGAAACUGGCAGUCUUGAGUACAGUAGAGGUGGGCGGAAUUCGUGGUGUAGCGGUGAAAUGCUUAGAUAUCACGAAGAACUCCGAUUGCGAAGGCAGCUCACUAGACUGCAACUGACACUGAUGCUCGAAAGUGUGGGUAUCAAACAGGAUUAGAUACCCUGGUAGUCCACACAGUAAACGAUGAAUACUCGCUGUUUGCGAUAUACAGUAAGCGGCCAAGCGAAAGCAUUAAGUAUUCCACCUGGGGAGUACGCCGGCAACGGUGAAACUCAAAGGAAUUGACGGGGGCCCGCACAAGCGGAGGAACAUGUGGUUUAAUUCGAUGAUACGCGAGGAACCUUACCCGGGCUUAAAUUGCAUUUGAAUAAUCUGGAAACAGGUUAGCCGCAAGGCAAAUGUGAAGGUGCUGCAUGGUUGUCGUCAGCUCGUGCCGUGAGGUGUCGGCUUAAGUGCCAUAACGAGCGCAACCCUUAUCUUUAGUUACUAACAGGUCAUGCUGAGGACUCUAGAGAGACUGCCGUCGUAAGAUGUGAGGAAGGUGGGGAUGACGUCAAAUCAGCACGGCCCUUACGUCCGGGGCUACACACGUGUUACAAUGGGGGGUACAGAAGGCAGCUACCUGGCGACAGGAUGCUAAUCCCAAAAACCUCUCUCAGUUCGGAUCGAAGUCUGCAACCCGACUUCGUGAAGCUGGAUUCGCUAGUAAUCGCGCAUCAGCCAUGGCGCGGUGAAUACGUUCCCGGGCCUUGUACACACCGCCCGUCAAGCCAUGAAAGCCGGGGGUACCUGAAGUACGUAACCGCAAGGAGCGUCCUAGGGUAAAACUGGUAAUUGGGGCUAA